AGCAGCCGCGGUAAUUCCAGCUCCAAUAGCGUAUAUUAAAGUUGUUGCAGUUAAAAAAGCUCGUAGUUGAAUUUCGGGAUCAAUAUGUUGGUCGUGCCUUGGUACGUACUGGCAUUAUCGAUUCCUACCUUCUGAAGAACCUCGAUGUCAUUAAUUUGGUGUCUUGGGGAAUCAGGACUGUUACUUUGAAAAAAUUAGAGUGUUUAAAGCAGGCUCGCGCUUGAAUACAUUAGCAUGGAAUAAUGAAAUAGGACGUUUGAUUCUAUUUUGUUGGUUUCUAGGAUCCGACGUAAUGAUUAAUAGGGAUAGUUGGGGGCAUUAGUAUUCAAUUGUCAGAGGUGAAAUUCUUGGAUUUAUUGAAGACUAAACUACUGCGAAAGCAUUUGCCAAGGAUGUUUUCUAUUAAUCAAGAACGAAAGUUAGGGGAUCGAAGACGAUCAGAUACCGUCGUAGUCUUAACCAUAAACUAUGCCGACUAGGAUCGGAUGAUGUUAAUUUUUUAAUGUACUCAUUCGGCGUC
rnacentral:rRNA from 1 species